ACUUACCUUAAGGGUGGCGAUGAGCCAUUGUUCAGGCCGGCUAAUGCUGCGCAUACCGCGCUGGUGUUUGUCACAGAGCAGUGCUCUCAGACCUGCUACUGUACCCUUUUAAUUUUUCCU
rnacentral:snRNA from 18 species